AGAUUAAGUUAUUAAGGGCGCACGGUGGAUGCCUUGGCACUAGAAGCCGAUGAAGGACGUUACUAACGACGAUAUGCUUUGGGGAGCUGUAAGUAAGCUUUGAUCCAGAGAUUUCCGAAUGGGGAAACCCAGCAUGAGUUAUGUCAUGUUAUCGAUAUGUGAAUACAUAGCAUAUCAGAAGGCACACCCGGAGAACUGAAACAUCUUAGUACCCGGAGGAAGAGAAAGAAAAUUCGAUUCCCUUAGUAGCGGCGAGCGAAACGGGAAGAGCCCAAACCAACAAGCUUGCUUGUUGGGGUUGUAGGACACUCUAUACGGAGUUACAAAGGACGACAUUAGACGAAUCAUCUGGAAAGAUGAAUCAAAGAAGGUAAUAAUCCUGUAGUCGAAAAUGUUGUCUCUCUUGAGUGGAUCCUGAGUACGACGGAGCACGUGAAAUUCCGUCGGAAUCUGGGAGGACCAUCUCCUAAGGCUAAAUACUCUCUAGUGACCGAUAGUGAACCAGUACCGUGAGGGAAAGGUGAAAAGCACCCCGGAAGGGGAGUGAAAUAGAACCUGAAACCGUGUGCUUACAAGUAGUCAGAGCCCGUUAAUGGGUGAUGGCGUGCCUUUUGUAGAAUGAACCGGCGAGUUACGAUUUGAUGCAAGGUUAAGCAGUAAAUGUGGAGCCGUAGCGAAAGCGAGUCUGAAUAGGGCGUUUAGUAUUUGGUCGUAGACCCGAAACCAGGUGAUCUACCCUUGGUCAGGUUGAAGUUCAGGUAACACUGAAUGGAGGACCGAACCGACUUACGUUGAAAAGUGAGCGGAUGAACUGAGGGUAGCGGAGAAAUUCCAAUCGAACCUGGAGAUAGCUGGUUCUCUCCGAAAUAGCUUUAGGGCUAGCCUCAAGUGAUGAUUAUUGGAGGUAGAGCACUGUUUGGACGAGGGGCCCCUCUCGGGUUACCGAAUUCAGACAAACUCCGAAUGCCAAUUAAUUUAACUUGGGAGUCAGAACAUGGGUGAUAAGGUCCGUGUUCGAAAGGGAAACAGCCCAGACCACCAGCUAAGGUCCCAAAAUAUAUGUUAAGUGGAAAAGGAUGUGGCGUUGCCCAGACAACUAGGAUGUUGGCUUAGAAGCAGCCAUCAUUUAAAGAGUGCGUAAUAGCUCACUAGUCGAGUGACACUGCGCCGAAAAUGUACCGGGGCUAAACAUAUUACCGAAGCUGUGGAUUGUCCUUUGGACAAUGGUAGGAGAGCGUUCUAAGGGCGUUGAAGCAUGAUCGUAAGGACAUGUGGAGCGCUUAGAAGUGAGAAUGCCGGUGUGAGUAGCGAAAGACGGGUGAGAAUCCCGUCCACCGAUUGACUAAGGUUUCCAGAGGAAGGCUCGUCCGCUCUGGGUUAGUCGGGUCCUAAGCUGAGGCCGACAGGCGUAGGCGAUGGAUAACAGGUUGAUAUUCCUGUACCACCUAUAAUCGUUUUAAUCGAUGGGGGGACGCAGUAGGAUAGGCGAAGCGUGCGAUUGGAUUGCACGUCUAAGCAGUAAGGCUGAGUAUUAGGCAAAUCCGGUACUCGUUAAGGCUGAGCUGUGAUGGGGAGAAGACAUUGUGUCUUCGAGUCGUUGAUUUCACACUGCCGAGAAAAGCCUCUAGAUAGAAAAUAGGUGCCCGUACCGCAAACCGACACAGGUAGUCAAGAUGAGAAUUCUAAGGUGAGCGAGCGAACUCUCGUUAAGGAACUCGGCAAAAUGACCCCGUAACUUCGGGAGAAGGGGUGCUCUUUAGGGUUAACGCCCAGAAGAGCCGCAGUGAAUAGGCCCAAGCGACUGUUUAUCAAAAACACAGGUCUCUGCUAAACCGUAAGGUGAUGUAUAGGGGCUGACGCCUGCCCGGUGCUGGAAGGUUAAGAGGAGUGGUUAGCUUCUGCGAAGCUACGAAUCGAAGCCCCAGUAAACG
rnacentral:rRNA from 1 species